rnacentral:lncRNA from 1 species
AGAAAUGACAGAAGAAAGAGAAUUUUAUGGCGGUUGAGAUGAGGAAACCAUUACUCCCAAACUGGGCUGAAGGAAGGCUUGAGGAUGAAAGUAGCACCUUGUCUGGGGCCUGAAGGAUAAAUAGAAUUUGUUGGGCAAAAAUGUAGGUGAAGGAGGGGUUAAGUCAUUUAAAGCAAAGGGAGCAGCAUAAGCAAAAAUUUAGAGGAAAGUGUGAGGUGUGAGUGUAGGGGCUUAUGAGUUGAGUUUGGAGCAAAUGAUACACAAAGCAGAAUACUAGAAAAAUAAGGAAGAAAUAUGAGAUUGGCCAAUAAAAACAUGGACAAAAGAUUUGAACAGACACUUCACCAAAAAAGUGUAUGGAUGGCAAAUCAGUAGAUGAAAAUACCAUCACUGUGGUUUGUCAUUAGGGAAAUGCCAAUUAAAUCCACAAUGUGAUACCACACCACCUAUUAGAGUGGAUAAAACUCUCAUACAUUGCUGGUGGGAAUGUAAAAUUGUAUAACCACUUUGAAAACAGUAUGGCAGUUUCUUAAAAAGUUAAAAAUGAGCCUACCAUGUGAUCUGGCCAUUCCAAUCCUAUGUGUUUACCGAAGAGAAAUGAAAACAUACAUUCACACAAAGAUUUGUGUCUAACUCUUCAUAACAGCUUUAUUUAGAAUAACCCCAAGGGCCGGCCCCAUGGCCGAGUGGUUAAGUUCGCGUGCUCUGCUUCGGCGGCCCAGGAAGGACCCACAACUAAAAAUAUACAACUGUGUACCAAGGGAAUUGGGAAGAAAAAGGAAAAAUAAAAUCUUUAAAAAAAAAAAAAAAAAAGAAUAACCCCAAAGUGGGAACAACCCAAAUCUUCAUCAAUAGGUGAAUGCAAAAACAAAUUAUGGUGCAUCCACACAGUGGGACACUGUUAGCAAUAAAAAGGAAUGAACUGUUGAUACAUGCAGCAACGUGGAUGAAUCUCAAACUUAGUUUGUUGAGUGAAAGAAAAAGAAGAUAUAUUGUAUGAUUCCAUAUAUACACAUAUAUAUGUAUGUAUAUAUAUACACACACAUGCGCACGCACACACACACAAUUCUAGAAAAUGCAAACUAAUCUGUAAGGACAGGAGGCACAUGAGUGAUUGCCUGAAGAUGGCAAGAGGAGGGAUUGUAAAGGAGCAUAAGGAAACUUCUGGAGGUGAUGAAUAUGCAUCAUGAUGACUUCACAGAUGUACACAUAUGUUAAAACUUACCUAAUUGUACUCUUUAAAUAUAUCUUAUAUCCCAAAAAAGCUGUUUUAAAAAGAUAAGGUUGGAGUCAACUGACCUGAGGUCUUUGUGAUUAGGCUAAGGUGUUUCUGUUCUCUCUGGAGCUGUUCAUUUAUUCAUACAUUAAUUAAAAAAUAUAUUUAUUGCAUGCCAAUGAGGUGCCAAAUACUGUGUGUGGCUCUUAAUAGAAAUAGAGAACAUGGGAGAAGGAAGUGGGAAGUAAAUGAUGAGUUUCAUUCUGGACGUGCUGAGUUUGGACUGUCUGAGGAACGCUAGCAGAGAUGUGUAGCAGGCAGUUGGAAAUACCAAGAUUUGCUUGGGAAGAAAGCAGGAGUGGAGAAACAAUUUAGAUACUUCCCACAGAGAGAAGAUUACUGCAGCCGUGAGACUUAGGAUUAUUAAAGUGGAACAUGUAGAACGUUUGGCAUGAAACUUGAUGAACGUAUUAGUGUGUGUUUUAUUCUUACUGAAGCAAAAUACCUGAAAGAAUUCUUUGUCUUCCUUUCUUCCCAAGAAAACAGUGAAAAGCUUGGAUUGUGAGUCUGGACUUCCUUGCCUCAGAGGAUUGUUACAAUUUCUUUGUGUCCUGGGGCUGAGUGUUGGGUUUCCGAGUACCUAGAAGUCAACCUCCACUCAGACUUCUGUUAGGAAACUAGAUGGGAGUCAAAGAUGUAAGAAAGGCAGAUGCUGGGAGCUGAGGAUACAGAAAUGGCUCAGUAUUAAAGAUGGGGGUAGUGAGGGGCUGGUGGAUUUCUGUGACUUUAGGAGAGGGAAUGGGAAUUUGGGGGAUCCCUGGAAUGGCAGGACCCAUGCCCACUCUCCUCGAGCACAUGAGAAUGUGCUAAACUCUAUGAUGGGGUGGCAUGUGGAUGGUGGAAGGACUUAACACCAAGCACUAUGGCCCUGGGAGCCAUAACCAAGUACUCCUGUGGCCCCACUUAGUUUUGGAGAGAAAAGAGCAGGUGUGAGGAAAGGGUGGAUGACGGACAUCAUGGAGGUGGCUCUAGGAACCGAUGCCCACAGAGCUUUCCGCUGUCCUCUGGGCCCCAGGAAAUCCCCCAAGAAAUUCCUCUAACCCUAGGAAAAAGGAAAGGUCCCUAAAAACAUAAAUGAAAUUAAAUUUGCACCAAGUGAGGCCUUGAGAUCUAGGGUUAAUUUGAUUUAGAAGAAAUAGAAUAAUGUCAUGUCCCUUGCACUCAACUUGUACCAAUUGUGGAGCAAAUGUAUGCCUAUUACAAAUAAAACCAGGUCAAGAUCCUCAGGGAACCCAAAUUUGGGGGAGAGCAGUACCACUUCUGGACAGUUGUUCAGGCAGUCAGGUACAAAGAAUCGUGUAGGUGGGCAUGGGGCCAGGGUGGGUGGCCCCCUGGAAAUCACCUAUUUCCUUCCCUGGCCUAAAAUCCUCCAGUGGGAUGAGAUCACAUCCCCUUUAAAGGGUUUGGGAAAGUGGAGUCCACACUUGGCAGUAAUUUGUGGUCCAUAAUUCUUGCUUAUAUUUGUCUAACUACCCAGUUUGAGUGAGAACCCCACACGAUGGUCCCCGUGCACAGAACAAAUUUUGGUUAAAACUAUGCAGCAUGGUAGUCCUGAAAAACAGUCAUCAGAGAGUUUACAAAACUCUUUAUAAUCUGGAAGGAAAUGAUUCCUCCUCAUACCUCUGUGAGAAACUCCUUUUGUUCCCCUAUUUUAUAGCUGAGGAAGCUGUGGUCAAGGAAGAAAUUCUGAGCCUAAUACAACUUCCCAGGCUGUUCGUUAAGAGUAGCCGGAGAAGGGUCCCGUAGUUAUAAGGGGCCAGUCAAAGGGCACAGUACAUGCAGAGACCCCGAGGGGAACCAGCUUGCAUGUUUGAGGAACAGGAAGAAGGACCAGUGUGGCUGGAGAAUAUUCUGGCUACUGUGUGGAGGAUGGAAGCAGAGAGACCAGUUAAGAGGUAUGACAGUGUCUAGGAGAGAAGAAGGGCUUUGAUUAGAGUGGUAUAAAGUGGAAUGGUGAGAUGUAGGAAGACUCAGGAUAUACUUAGGAAGUAGAGUUGAUGGAUUGGAAGUGGAGGGUGAUGGGGGAAAGGAUCAAUGGAAGAUUAUUUUGGGAUUUUGGAAGGUGGUGUCAUUUCCCGAGAUUGGAAAGACUUGGGAUGGGGAGCUGGAGAUCACGAAUUCUGUUUUGGACAGCCUAUGUUUGAGAUGCCUGUUGGGGAUGUCAGGAAGACAGCUGCGUAUUUACAUCCAGAGCUCAGGAGGAGAGUCCCUGGCACAUAGGUGGUGUGUCUACACAUGUAAGAUUGCAUAAGCUCAUCCAGAGAGAGAGGGCAGAGAAGAGAAAAGGACUGAAGACAGAGCCUCGAGCACUAAAAUUUCGAGAUUGGACCAAGAAAAAAAAGGAGCUAGCAAAAAUCGUUGAGAAGAAUCUCUCGUUGAAGUUGAACGAGAAUUGGGCAUGGGGUGUCAGAAGCACGAGAGGAAUCACAUUGACUAGCCAGUGCUGAACACACAGUAGACACUCGUUGAGAGUUAGUUUCCCCUUAAGUGGAAAUAGUAUCAUUCCUUUAUUUUAGGUCUUUCAAAGGGUGUAAUAUUACCAUUCAUCCCAGCAUAAAUUCAAUUUGCAAUGGCAUUUUUUUUCAUCUUUCCUAUGUCUUUCCAGGUUGAAAUAUAGAGCCCUGAAGAGUCAUGGGUUGGUCACCCUUCUUCAAAAGCACACAUUUACCAGCCUGCGAAUCCACCAAGUGAAGAUUUCUCUUUUUCCGCCUUAAGUUCACAGGAUUUAAUUUGCCUGAGUAACCUGCUGUCAUAGGUUUUCCUAGAGUCCCGACAUCUAACAGUGUAGUUAAUGCUUUAGGCUUUUAGGAGCUGUUUCGGGCUUUUAUUAAUCACUGUUGUGAUUGCACAUAUGAAUUAUGAAGGAGUUAUUUUGGUACAUGGAUUUCCCCCUCAGAAAAAUUUCCAUAUUUGUUCAUUAUGAACUGAUAGCCUGGAGAAGAAGAAUAAAAGUGGAGACCGUUCCUGGGUCCCAUGCAGACAUUUCGUGUUAUCCAGAGUGAGGGUUACUUCAUGGUAAACAGAAGGAGUGUAAGUGGUUUGAAGUCAGUUGUUAAAUGUUUUCUCUUCCCCUCACUGUAAAUUAGUGAGAGUCCCCAGGACUGCCCCACCUAUGUGGAUUUUGUGAACUGUUUAAAGAUGUUUGUGAUGUUUGUGAACAACAGAAGGAAUUUGGGGGGUCUGUUGGAUUUGUCUAUGAUUCCCCUCACUGGAGGAAGCACCCCUAGGACCUUCGUGAUUAGCGUGCUCAUCUUCUGGGGCUUUUCCAGGAGACAGGUAUCCAGGUAAC